AAAAAGCCUUUCCCCACCACUGUUCCCAAGUUCAGGCAUAAUUGUGAAAAUUUACGGUGAUUAAAAGAAAAAUAUUAAGGUAUAGAAGAAAGUAGCUUUCUCUUCCAAACGGGUCCACACUUAGUCUCACCAGGAACUUGCCGCCACCAUCCCCCGAUCGCCAUUGAAGUUGUAAUCUUCUGUACUUUCUCUUUUCACUCGUAUAGAUAUAACUAAUAUGUUGGUUCUCACUCCGGUUUAUAGCUUAGUAAUCGUUUGGUUGGAUGGGUGAAAAGUGUUUGGGUUUGUCUUGAAUUGGGUCUUUACAGUAUUUGAGUAGAUAAUUGUGAGAAAUGGCAUAUGUUUUAUUAUUUGUAAUUUGUUUAGGUGUAUUUUGUUUUCUCUGGAUUCUGCUGAUAAAUGAUCUGUUUGGUUGCUAGGAAUGUGUGGGAAAAGAAAUGGUUGUUGAGGAUUUAAUUUUAAUUUGAACCUUUUUGGCGUGCAACAAUUGGUCGUCAACAUAAGAGAGGCG
rnacentral:lncRNA from 1 species